UGCCACACAGCUUUGUCCCCCUCCC
rnacentral:piRNA from 1 species